GACGAACGCUGGCGGCGUGCUUAACACAUGCAAGUCGAACGGAAAGGCCCUGCUUUUGUGGGGUGCUCGAGUGGCGAACGGGUGAGUAACAUGUGAGUAACCUGCCCUUGACUUUGGGAUAACUUCAGGAAACUGGGGCUAAUACCGGCUAGGUGCUCCUGCUGCAUGGUGGGGGUUGGAAAGUUUAGGCGGUUGGGGAGAGACUCGCGGCUUAUCAGCUUGUUGGUGGGGGAGUGGCUUACCAAGGCUUUGGUGGAUCGCCGGCAUGAGAGCGGGAACGGGCACAAUAGUACUGAGAGACGCACCAGAGGGGUACAUUAGGCAGUAGGGGGGAAUAUUGUACAAUGGGCGGACGUCUGAGGCAGCAAUGUCGCGAGCGGAAUGACGGCCUUCGUGGGGGAAACCGCUUUCGCCUGAGACGAAGCGUGAUUGACGGUAAUGGGUAAAGAAGCACCGGCUAACUACGUG
rnacentral:rRNA from 1 species